rnacentral:lncRNA from 10 species
AUUUUUAGUAGACAUGGAUUUUCACCAUGUUGGCCAGACUGGUCCCUAACUCCUGACCUCAAGUGAUCUGCCUGCCUCGGCCUCCUAAUGUUGGGUUAACUUCUAACUACUCUAGUGAUUCAGCUGAUUGCUGCUGCUAGAAAGCUGGACUUUUUCUUACAUUAGCAACUGUGUUUCCACCAGUCAGGAUCAGGAAGGCCAACUUCCCUGCUGUACUUGUGAAAAGAUGAAUAAGUAAUUCAUAAAAUAUCUGUCCAUAGCCCAAUAGGCAUUCCACAGAGAUGACAGAAGACAGGCAAAGGGGCAAGAGGGAGCCCAGAUGCAAUGCAGUCCCCAAAUCAAGUUCCCUUUUGUAAAGUGCGUCACCUGCAAAUGCCUAUUGUGAAAGAGAAAGCGCAUCACCCAUGCUGUGGGUUCCUGACUCAGGCUGAUGGGGAAAGCCAAAGCCAUUUGUGACAAAAGCUAGGUGACAGGGGUAAGCCACUGGUUUGGGAGUUUGCAGUGAGGCCAUUCUGAACCUGCAAAACCAGAUCUGACAGUCUAAACGAUUUACUAACAGGAAGUGCUCCGGAUGCUGUGAUGGACUUCUGUAUUUACGUUGAAUGAGUUGAAUGAAUGUCAUAGGCAGAAAGAACUGCUCACUAGGGGGCCGGGACAGAGGCUGAUGGAGAUUCCCGUUAGCCAGGUGUGGAGCGGAGCCUCCAGGGCUUGCCAGGUAUGCUGGAAACAGAACACCACACAAACAUCUCUACAGCCCUGAAGUGCAAAGCUAAAUAACAUGGGACAUUAUGAAAACGACUGUCAUUCUUAUUUAAUUUAGAAAAUCCACAUAAAACAUGUACACAUCAUGAAUAAGAAUAGUAAAGGCCUAUUAUGUACCAGGUGCCAUGCUAAGGGCUAAUCCACUGAGUUCUCUAAACACGCUCUUUUUUCUUAUGUGGAGGUUAAGGCACAGAGAGGUUAUGUAACUUGCCUAAGGUCACACAGCUCUAAAAUUUUGGAGCUGGGAUUUGAACCCAGGUGGUCUGGCCUCAGAACCUGUGCUCUGCUGCUUUAUGGUAUUCUCCUCCCCUUCUCUUUUAGAGCAAUAGAAAAAUCACCACCAUUGGCAAAAGUAACUCGAGGAGUUAGCAAGGGGUGAGGGGUCUGGGGAGAUCUAGAAGCAGAGCUUCUGAGUGGGCAGCAGGCAGGGGAGUUGGAGCCCUAGAAUGACUAUAUCAGGAAUAUUGGCUGGACACAUACCUCCCUUGGAUACACAGCCCAUCUGGAGCUAAAGCAAAGAGAUACAUUGUUUUAUUUGAAGCCAGCAAGGUUCAGUGGGCACUGAGAGACAUCCCUGGGGUUCCCUAGAGCUGAAGGGUGAGCCGGGGACAACAAGAACCUGUUGAAAAUGGCACCACCAUCAGAAUUAAAAGUCCAACUAAUUUGGAGCAAUAGUGACUGCCUAAGGUUUAUCAUCCUCUUAUGAGUCUGUAAGGUAAGCCAUAAAGCCUCCUGUGCAUAAAUGGGCAAAAGGCUGGAGGAGACACAGGAAGAGAAACAAAUUGGGAAGAACAAGUUGGGGCAGCCUUUUUGGAAAGAAAGUUGGCAGCAUCUAGGAGGGGCCCCAAAACCUUCAUAUGCACCGAUCCAACUUCACCUCUGUCAGUGGAUUCUAAGAAAACAAGCAGAGACGCAAACAAAGCUUUAACCAUGAAAAUGCUCUCUCCAAUACUUCUAAGAGAACAACAACAACAACAACAACAAAAUAGAAACAAUUUAGAUGCUCCAAAAUAAGAGGUUGUUUAAAUAAAUUAUGUUGCAUCCAUUUGAUGGAACAUUAUGUAGCUAUAAAAUCAUGUUUUCAAAGAAUAUUUAAUGACAUGGGGAGAUACCUUGUGCUACAAGGUUAGAGAACAAAAGCAGGACACAAAAUUGUUUAUAAAAAUGAUUCAAAGUUUGCAAAAAAUUGAUAUGCACAGAAAAAUGCUCGGAAGGAAAGAUACAAAAGGCUAUCAGGGUGAGAUUAAGAAAGAUAUAAUCAUCUUUGUACAUUCCUGUGUUUUCUAAUUAUUCUUCAAUGUGCAUCAAGGACUACUUUAUAUCAGAGAAAAGAACCAUUAAUUUUAAAGUGUUGCAACUAAUUUCUAGUGGUGGCAACACAUUUUAAGCAAUGCUGUUCAUAUGUGCAUUCAUUCAUUCAUUCAUUCAUUCAUUCAUUCAUUCAUUCAGUGGUCAGUGUAGGUAAAGUGCUUAAAACAGUGCCUAGCCGGUUGCAGUGAACCGAGACUGCACAUUGCACUCCAGCCUGGGAGACAGAGUGACGCUCCGUCUCAAAAAAUAAAAAAACAGAACAAACAAACAAAAAAAUCCCACAAAAAAACAACAAACAAAAAUAAGUGCCUGGCACAUAGUAUGAAUUAUUUAAGUGUUAGAUAUGAUUCAUUAAUUUCUUUUUUUUCUUUUUUUAGAGGCAGAUAUCUUACUGCGUCAUCCAGGCUGUAGAGCAGUGGUGAGAUCACAGCUCACUGCAGCCUUGAACUCGUGGGCUCAAGCAAUCCUCCUACCUCAGCCUCCUGAGAAGCUGGGACUACAGGCGAG